UGGACCUAGCUGGCUGGGAAUGAAUCUCCAGAGAGUUCUCCCAACACACAGGGCAUGCAAAGUGCCACAGUCAUCAGGGAAGGAGAGAAGAAGACUGCAUCCAGCUUCAGCAACAUUGCUGGGUUUUAAGCAGUUCCCUGGACCCCAACAGAAAGGGCAACGAACACCAAGCAGUACCAGGGAACAUGACAAAUGUGUAACAUUUCAGUAAUACUGCUACUUACAUGUUAGAAUCAAUUUCAAAUAUUAAAGGUCUCUAUGGGAGGGGCCUCAGUUCUUGUUCUUUGAGUAUAGGUUUUAAUUCCAAGUGCCUAUGAAGUAAUAAAGAGGCCUGUUGCUGAAGCUGCCAGAGUCUCCUGAGUGUUAUCUGGAUAGAGGUAGGUUGAUGACAGCUGAAGAAGACUGUAUUUGCUGAACAGCGGCAUGAUGGUAGAGAGGAGCGGGGUUCCUGAGGGAGAUCUAAUGGUGCCUCUCCUUCCUGCACAGAGAUAAAGACUUAUAAUAAGCGUGUAUGUUCACCAUCUGGCUCUGUGCAUGUGGUCCUUAUGGAGGCGAGAGCAGCACAAUCUGUAAAUGAUCAGGAGCCAUCGCACUCUCUCCAGAGAAUCCACGAUGCAAUCAAGGUGACAGAUGGCAUGGCCACUGCUGUGGCCUCAUGGAGAAGAUCAAAAUCACCUUCAAUAAACUCUGACUGAAAUGGGCAUGAGCACCUCAAAAAAAAGUCAGUUUGUCAGUCAAACUGCGACAGCAAGCUGCGUGGGGGGGAGGGGAGGGAGAGAGGGAACGUAACGGCCAGUUCUCUGUUUUCAAUCGUUUCCGUCUGACUGAGCCUGAACUAUGAUCUUUCUCAAAUUGUCCUUUCUGUUUAGCUGAAGCAGGCCAGCAAAUUGCCAGAUUCAUCGCUUUAUUGAAGGAAAUUGAAAACAUGAUGUCCUCAAUUCAACGGACAAACAGCUGGCAGGUGUUUUGGACACCCAAAUGCAGAAAACAGACCUGUCAUCUUUAGGAUAAGUUCAGCCGACUUGAUAGAGUUUAAAGUGGAGAUCGAUAAUAUGAUUCUAAUUUAUGCAGGAAGGGGAAAGCGUUCAGCUGGUCGUGUUUAUAUGGCUGGAAGUGAACACUGUAUUGUGGUCUGAAUGCUUUUUCCUCCAUGUAAGUCAUCCACUGCUAAUCAAAAUAAUCUUUAUGUUCACUUUGGGUUAGUGUCUUUAUAAACUAUGCAUUUUAGGAAUUAAUAGGGUCAGACCUAUAGCUUGAUAUGAGAUUCUGAGAAUGCUGUAGCUACACUGAUUUUAGAGUUGCACUCAGUACCUGGUGGAAGCUGGCCAGAUCCUGACUAAUCCUGCAAAUUUGCCAGGGAGUAUUGGACUAGGCAAUAACUGAAAACUAUCCAUUUGUAUUUACAUCCAUAGAUGCACCUUCCAUUUAAUAGUUCCUCUUUAAUUGCUAUAAGAUGAGCCAAUGAUAAGCUUUUUCUGUCCUUCUGGAGUGGCAUGCAUUAGCAAACAGAGAAUGGGGAGGGAACACAGCCAAAACCCCAACAAGCUUUUGUUUUUAAGAACUGUGCUUUCAUUUCAAUGGGACUCCUACAUGAGAGUUUCCUUCUGAAUUGUCCACCUCUGUGGGGCUAACAGACAUUUCAGAAAGAAAUAUAUAGAUUGUGAAGAUAAUAAAGGAAGGAAAUAUAAACAGACCUUCAGCACUGCUGCUUCAGUCAAAUUAGGGGCACUCUCAGUUGCUUUCAAGCAGAAACAAAAAAAGUCAAGAUCCGCUCAUGAUUCUCUAAUAUAAUAUGUAGUUUGGCCCAUAGAUACACAUCCAGUGAAUUUCCAAGUUUGUUUGUUUCUUUACAUCCUCAACAGGAAACCCAAACUGGCUCACAGCAUCUUCCUGUUCUCCAUUUUAUCCCCACCUCAACCCUCAGCUUAGGCUGAGAAUAUGUGCUGACCCAAGAUUUUCCAGAGAGCUUGCAUGUCAGAGUGGAUAUUCAGAUCCUAGUCUGGAUCUCGCAGAUCCUAGUCUGACACUCCUAGCACUACACCAUGCUCAGCAAGGUGAGAGGUUAGACUAUUGUAAGCCUUUUUGAGUCCCCAUUGUGGGAGAAAAAGUCAGAGAUAAUGCUUAAGAUCAAAAUAAUAAAUAGCAAAAGAUGAGGCUCUGUGAGGCCUAGAUCCAAAUCCUCUUUCUGUCGUGGGAGCUCUGUGGGUGACCCAGGGCCAAUUUCAUAACCUCCCACACAGAUUUAGCAUAAAUGGCAGAAUGUUGUAAACUGCUUUGCUUCCCCACUGGGGAGAAAAGUAGUAUAAAUAUUUAAAUAAAUAUUGUUUACAUGCAGACCAUUAACCAAUGCUAGUCCUUCAGGCUGCAAUCCUAAACACGCUUAUCAGGGAGUGAGUCCUAUUGACCUCAGUGGAACUUACUUCUGUAUGUACUGGUUUAGGAUUGCUCUCUCAGCUGUCUAUUGGUAGUCUGGAUUGCAGGAACCAGCAAUCUGUUUGUUCAAUAAAUUAUGUCAGUAUGAGAUGCUGUCAUACCAUAUUCUACAUCCUUUAUAGAAAAUGAAGAUUCUCUGCAAAACUGAUGACCUCUGGUGCAAAUAUGCCUGUGAACCUUCCUGUUUCUGAUUUCCAGUUUGUUUUCCUGGAGCUUUCAGGCAGGAAAUAAAGUUGUGCAGUGAUA